rnacentral:rRNA from 1 species
GUAACGCGUCGAGCAACCUGUCCUUCACAGGGGGAUAACACAGCGAAAGUUGUACUAAUACCGCAUAAGACCACGGAGCUGCAUGGCUCAGGGGUCAAAGGAGGAAUCCGGUGAAGGGUGGGCUCGCGUCCGAUUAGAUAGUAGGUGAGGUAACGGCCCACCUAGUCGACGAUCGGUAGCCGACCUGAGAGGGUGAUCGGCCACAUUGGGACUGAGACACGGCCCAAACUCCUACGGGAGGCAGCAGUGGGGAAUAUUGGGCAAUUCGGGGGGAAACCCUGACCCAGCAACGCCGCGUGAGGGAAGAAGGUUUUCGGAUCGUAAACCUCUGUCCUUGGUGAAGAGGAAGAGACGGUAGCCAAGGAGGAAGCCCCGGCUAACUACGUGCCAGCCGCGGC